rnacentral:tRNA from 1 species
GCUGCUAUGUCCGAGUGGUUAAGGAGUGAGACUUGAAAUCUCAUGGGUUCGCCCGCAGAGGUUCGAUCCCUCUUGGCAGCG